rnacentral:rRNA from 1 species
UGAACAUUGAGCCUUGAUGUGUAGGAUAGGUGGGAGGCUUUGAAGCGUGGACGCCAGUCUGCGUGGAGCCGACCUUGAAAUACCACCCUUUAAUGUUUGAUGUUCUAACGUGGAUCCGUAAUCCGGGUUGCGGACAGUGUCUGGUGGGUAGUUUGACUGGGGCGGUCUCCUCCUAAAGAGUAACGGAGGAGCACGAAGGUUGGCUAAUCCUGGUCGGACAUCAGGAGGUUAGUGCAAUGGCAUAAGCCAGCUUGACUGCGAGCGUGACGGCGCGAGCAGGUGCGAAAGCAGGUCAUAGUGAUCCGGUGGUUCUGAAUGGAAGGGCCAUCGCUCAACGGAUAAAAGGUACUCCGGGGAUAACAGGCUGAUACCGCCCAAGAGUUCAUAUCGACGGCGGUGUUUGGCACCUCGAUGUCGGCUCAUCACAUCCUGGGGCUGAAGUAGGUCCCAAGGGUAUGGCUGUUCGCCAUUUAAAGUGGUACGCGAGCUGGGUUUAGAACGUCGUGAGACAGUUCGGUCCCUAUCUGCCGUGGGCGCUGGAGAACUGAGGGGGGCUGCUCCUAGUACGAGAGGACCGGAGUGGACGCAUCACUGGUGUUCGGGUUGUCAUGCCAAUGGCACUGCCCGGUAGCUAAAUGCGGAAGAGAUAAGUGCUGAAAGCAUCUAAGCACGAAACUUGCCCCGA